rnacentral:piRNA from 1 species
AUUGACAAUAAAUAGGAACACGC